rnacentral:rRNA from 1 species
CCUACGGGUGGCAGCAGUGGGGAAUAUUGGGCAAUGGGCGCAAGCCUGAACCAGCAACGCCGCGUGAGGGAAGAAGGUCUUCGGGUUGUAAACUUCUUUUCUCAGGGAAGAAGAAAGUGACGGUACCUGCGGAAUAAGCCACGGCUAACUACGUGCCAGCAGCCGCGGUAAUCCGUAGGUGGCAAGCGUUAUCCGGAUUGACGGGGUGUAAAGGGUGUGUAGGCGGGACUGCAAGUCAGAUGUGAAAACCAGGGGCUCAACCUGUGGCCUGCAUUUGAAACUGUAGGUCUUGAGUACUGGAGAGGCAGACGGAAUUCCUAGUGUAGCGGUGAAAUGCGUAGAUAUUAGGAGGAACACCAGUGGCGAAGGCGGUCUGCUGGACAGCAACUGACGCUGAGGCGCGAAAGCGUGGGGAGCAAACAGGAUUAGAUACCCUUGUAGUC